GUUAGUUUUUCUUUUUUUCAUAGUCUGUCCUCAUCUUGCUGCGGGGAGACUUUGUUAAACAACUUUCAAUGUGACCUAUAGCAAUAGAUAUGCAGACGGCUAGACUGAAAGUGGAAUGAACGAUACAGGCGUACUCUCGGAGAGCUAGCAAUAACUACAGUUUGCGGAAUAUCGCCAUCUGAUUGACGACGACCUUAAACAGUCUAAGCAUAGCCGUAGCAACGAUAGUUGAAAUUUUGUCAACUCUGUGCUAAAAUAAAC